UUUUGUGUGGUGGUUUCGCUCAGUUCCGCGUCUCGCGGGCCCACCUGAAUUUCCUGGACCGAGGCGUGCGAGCCUCAACGGCCCCGCGCUCGAUUUACAGGCGAAGAAGCCUCGGCGGAGAGCGGAGCCCGACUUCUCAAAAAGGACUGCACGGAGGUAGAGAGAUUGACUCCUUGUCUACUGACAGCUAAGCUCCACGUAUGGUUCUGCUUUCCCAGCAUCUACAUAAAUCAGGACUCUGCACAUUCUCAGCAUAGGAGAAAAAUGACCACGUUCAA